GCGCAGCAGGCGAGAAAACUUCACACUGUGCGAAAGCACGAUGAGGGAAUCCCAAGUGCUUGCACGUAAGUGUAAGCUGUUUCUCUGUUUAAAACGCAGAGAGAGUAAGGGCUGGGUAAGACGGGUGCCAGCCGCCGCGGUAAUACCUGCAGCUCAAGUGGUGACCGUUAUUAUUGGACCUAAAACGUCCGUAGCCGGUUUAAUAAAUGCCUGGGUAAAUCGUGUAGCUUAA
rnacentral:rRNA from 1 species